GUAGAAUGUGGUUAGAAAUUUUAAAACAUCAAUAAAAAUUAUAUGCUUCGGUAUAUAAAACAUUUACUAAAAACUCAAUAUUUUCGUUAACAUAUAGAUUUUGACAAAAUUUCAAAAAAUAUGACAAUAUUGUUUUAAUGCAAAGUUUCAACCUGUACUAACAUAUGAUGACGUUCAUAGGGGUUAGUAGUCUUUGUUGUCUCCGUUUUAAAAAAAAUAGUGAUUUUAUAGAGGUUAUUCUAUCGAUUUAGGGAGUAUUAUGAAGUUUUUCUAUAUUAAUUGAUAAUAAAUUAUAUUGAUUCCGAUAUUCCAUGAAAAGAGCUUAAAAUACCUUAAUAAAUAUGCAGAAUGUGGUUAGAAAUUUUAAAACAACACUAAAGAUUAUAUGCUUAGAAUAUAAAACAUUUACCAAAAACUCAAUAUUUUUGUAGGGGUUAACACAUCGAUUUUGAGAAAAAUUAAAAAAAAUAUUAUAAUAUUUUUUUAAUGCAUAGUUGCAUCAUGCACUAAUAUAUGAUAACGGUCAAAGAGGUUUGUAGCUUUUGUUGUCCCCGUUUUUCAGGAAAAUAGGGAUUUUAUAGUGGUAUUCCAUCGAUUUAGGGAAUAUUAUGAAGUUUUACUAAAUUAACUGAUAGAAAAAUUUUAAAGAUUCCAUAUAUCAUGAAAAAGAGCCUAAAAUACCUUAAUACAAAUGUAGAAUGUGGUUAGAAAUUUCAAAACAACACUAAAGAUUAUAUGCUUAAUAUAUAAAAUAUUUACCAAAAACUCAAUAUUUUUGUUGGGGUUAACACAUAGAUUUUGACAAAAUUUGAAAAAAUAUGACAAUAUUGUUUUAAUGCAUAGUUGCAUCCUUCACUAACAUAUGAUGAUGUUCAAAGAGGUUUGGAACCUUUGUUAUCCCCGUUUUUCAGUAAAAUAGUGAUUUUAUAGUGGUUAUCCCAUCGAUUUAGCGAAUAUUAUGAAGUUUUACUAAAUUAAUUGAUAAAAGAAUUAUAACAAUUCCCAUAUACUAUGAAAUAGAGCUUAAAAUACCUUAAUACAAAUGUAGAAUGUGGUUAGAAAUUUUAAAACAACACUAAAUAUUAUAUGCUUAGAAUAUAAAACAUUUACCAAAAACUCAAUAUUUUCGUAGGGGUUAUGCAUAGAUUUUGACAAAAUUUCAAAAAGUAUGAAAAUAUUGUUUUAAUGCAUAGUUGCAUCCUGCACUAACAUAUGAUGAUGUUCAAAGAGGUUUGGAGCCUUUGUUGUCCUGUUUUUCAGGAAAAUAGUGAUUUUAUAGUGGUUAUUCCAUCGAUUUAAGGAAUAUUACGAAGUUUUUACUAAAUUAAUUGAUAAAAAUUUAUAAAUUCUCAUAUACCAUUAAAAAGAGCAUAAAAUACCUUAAUACAAAUGUAGAAUGUGGUUAGAAAUUUAAAACAACACUAAAGAUUAUAUGCUUAGAAUAUAAAACAUUUACCAAAAACUCAAUAUUUUCGUAGGGGUUAACACAUCGAUUUUGACAAAAUUCAAAAAUAUGACAAUAUUUUUU